AACCUCCUCAAUGCACUUACGUGCGAAGGGGCUACCUCGAGUGCCAUCUGAUGAAGGUGGCUUUUCCUAGGUCUAAAAAGCCUUGGGAAUAAGAGGGGGGCAAGACUGGUGUCAGCCGCCGCGGUAACACCAGCCCCUCGAGUGGUGGGGAUGAUUAUUGGGCCUAAAGCGUCCGUAGCCUGCCGAAUAAGUUCCCCGUUAAAUCCAGCGUCUCAAGCGUUGGACCGCGGGAAAUACUGUACGGCUAGAGAGUGGGAGAGGUCAGCGGUAUUCUGGGGGUAGGGGCGAAAUCCUUUGAUCCCCGGAGGACCACCAGUGGCGAAGGCUGCUGUCUAGAACACGUCUGACGGUCAGGGACGAAAGCUGGGGUAGCGAACCGGAUUAGAUACCCGGGUAGUCCCAGCCGUAAACGAUGCAUGCUAGGUGUUGGGUUGGCCACGAGCCACCCCAGUGCCGCAGGGAAGCCGUUAAGCAUGCCGCCUGGGAAGUACGAUCGCAAGG
rnacentral:rRNA from 1 species